UCUCCGUUGGUGAACCAGCGGAGGGAUCAUUACCGAGUGUAAAAACUCCCAAACCAUUGUGAACCUACCACUGUUGCUUCGGCGGCCUCGCCCCGGGCGCGUUCGCGCGGCCCGGACCCAGGCGAGGGGGUGCCUGCCGCUGGCCAACCAAAAAUUCUAGCUGUUUUUGUACCAUCUGAGUCUUCCACAAAUAAACAAAACUUUCAACAACGGAUCUCUUGGUUCUG
rnacentral:misc_RNA from 1 species